rnacentral:misc_RNA from 1 species
AUUUUAUUAAAAAAAGAGAGAAAAGGAAUGUGAAGAGUAGCAACGAACAAUCCAAAUCCCAUUUAGAAGGGAAAAAAUUAACCCACAAGACCUUACGCCAUAAAAAAUAGGGACAAGAUCAUAGUAAUUAUAUAGUUCAAAAAUUAAAACACCCAUCACGUCUCACAACAAUUAUUCUUUACAUAAUCACACCUUUUUGUUAAAAUAAAUACUAAAAAUAAUGGCCUUCAGUUCAUCUUUGAUAAAAGCCGAACCUUAAAAUCUGUAUGCCGUAAAAUCUUUUUCUUUUUUCAUGUUAAUCCACACUUCCACAUUGAGAAAUGAUAAAAUUAAAAUAAUGUAAAAGAACGCAAAUUGAUCCUCUAGGCACCCCUAGCCAACAUCUCCUCAAAUUCAAGAAUGGAUUUCUCCUUCUGAAGCUUUAUUUCUUGAUGAAAUUUGGAUAUAAAUUCCUCAGCCCUCUCAUCCACUGGUCUUAGCUGCGGUGAUUUAGCAACAACUUCUCUCCAAGCAUCUUCAAUGCUAUACAGCACCUUCUCCUUCUCCUUUUCCUUUUCUACUUUUCUCGGCAAAACCUGCUUAUCAACCACCUGUUUACCUCUGCUGCUAGUUUCUGCAUGGAAAUGCUUCUUGGCCUGAAGCGAAUACGACGAACCUUCAGCCUCCACAGAAUAGAGUUGGUCUAUGUAUAUGGGUGAGAAGUUCUUAUGAGCCUGGCUCUUGUUGCUAUAAUAGUGUCGGUAAAGAUGACUAUUAUUAUAAUGGUAGCCACGAUAUGGUGGUCUGGUUACGGAACGUUUCUUUAAAGGAUCAAAGAAACGGAUGGAGCAAUAAGAGAGGAGGCGAUUGGAGCUGGUCUUGAUGCCCUUGAUGGCUCCAGAGAAAUUCAGGUUAUGGAAUUUUGACUCGACUGUCUUGGCGAAGCGUUUCCACGCCCUCUUUGCCGGUUGAAGCUUCUUUUCCAGGCCCGAAUAAGACAUCAAGUGUUUGAUUUUCUUCUUGGAAAUGGAUAAAGAGAGGAUUUCUAAAGAAGGGUUUGCAUUUGUUGUCAUGGACCGUCAGGUUAGUCUUGAUAUAGGAUGCAUAUAUAUGUGUUGGUCCGAAAAUGACAUUGCAUCUUUCAGAAUAUAACUAGAAUGCCACUCCUCAAUCAUAG